AGGCUUAAAGCAACAGGGCUCCCCCGCACCCGAAGUCUUCUAACUCGUCAGGAACUAGAAAAAAAAGAGGAAACAGCCCUCCCAGGUACUAAGGAGAUCUCAGAGUGCGAUGGAGAGGAGUAAAAGGAGAGUCCCUGCAAUGUGUCUAGCCCAGGGCCUGGAAUGAAGGACUGUCCACUGCGAGAAUAAGAACACGAUGGCGCACCAACCCCUCCUUUCCUUCCAGAGGUCAACAAUCUUGCAUUUCUCUCAGGGGCCACCACUACCAGGGUUGGUAAGUCCCGUCAAAAAAGACAUGAAUUUUGGUGGACAAUCCCAGCCUGCUCUCACAGAGAAUGUGGCCUGUCCCACUCCUCACCAUCCUGAGAAAGGCUACAGUGUGGCCAAGUGGAGGCAGGUCAGAAAUCUUGAUCUUCAUUUGUGUUGUCCAAUACAAUACAGUAGCUACUGGCCACAUGUAGCUGUUGAGACUUGAAAUGGAUCUGAAUUGAGAUCUGAUGUAAGAGUAAAAUACACACAGGAUUUCAAAGACUUACUAUGAAAAAAGGAACAUAAAUAUCCCAUUGGUAAUUUUGUAUAUUGAUGACAUGUCAGUUAAUGUUUUGGAUAUACAGAGGGUGCCCAAAAAUGCAUACA